rnacentral:rRNA from 1 species
UACAGAGGGUGCAAGCGUUGUUCGGAAUUAUUGGGCGUAAAGCGCGUGUAGGCGGCUUUGCAAGUCGGGUGUGAAAGCCCUCAGCUCAACUGAGGAAGUGCGCCCGAAACUGCAGAGCUUGAGUACCGGAGAGGGAUGGUGGAAUUCCCCAAGUAGAGGUGAAAUUCGUAGAUAUGGGGAGGAACACCGGUGGCGAAGGCGACCAUCUGGACGGAUACUGACGCUGAGACGCGAAAGCGUGGGUAGCAAACAGGA